rnacentral:rRNA from 1 species
CGAGCGGUAGAGAGAAGCUUGCUUCUCUUGAGAGCGGCGGACGGGUGAGUAAUGCCUAGGAAUCUGCCUGGUAGUGGGGGAUAACGUUCGGAAACGAACGCUAAUACCGCAUACGUCCUACGGGAGAAAGCAGGGGACCUUCGGGCCUUGCGCUAUCAGAUGAGCCUAGGUCGGAUUAGCUAGUUGGUGAGGUAAUGGCUCACCAAGGCGACGAUCCGUAACUGGUCUGAGAGGAUGAUCAGUCACACUGGAACUGAGACACGGUCCAGACUCCUACGGGAGGCAGCAGUGGGGAAUAUUGGACAAUGGGCGAAAGCCUGAUCCAGCCAUGCCGCGUGUGUGAAGAAGGUCUUCGGAUUGUAAAGCACUUUAAGUUGGGAGGAAGGGCAGUUACCUAAUACGUGAUUGUUUUGACGUUACCGACAGAAUAAGCACCGGCUAACUCUGUGCCAGCAGCCGCGGUAAUACAGAGGGUGCAAGCGUUAAUCGGAAUUACUGGGCGUAAAGCGCGCGUAGGUGGUUUGUUAAGUUGGAUGUGAAAUCCCCGGGCUCAACCUGGGAACUGCAUUCAAAACUGACUGACUAGAGUAUGGUAGAGGGUGGUGGAAUUUCCUGUGUAGCGG